UACACAAGAGGAAAUAAGUGUAAACUGGAAGUUCAGUCACCGGGGAGGCUUUUUUGGCUCUCUCCACCUCAGACCUCUGCCACCGUGCCAGUCGUUUGGUCUGUGGAGGAACCCAGAACAAAGGUCCAGCAAGCAUAAGCAACCCUGCCAAGCAACACUGUAACUCAGGGUUCUUUCUAGAACUUGGUAGUAUUUUACCUGCUCUUCCUCGUGUUUUUGGAAUGGUUCUUAUAGUCUCAUUCCGCUGCCCCUAGGACACCACCACCCCCCGGCUUUUUUUUAAACAUUCUUAAUGUUAUCCCUUUAGGUCCCAUUCCAGACUCAAGGAGGUUGUCCCAAGUCCCCUUCCCUGAGGCUGGUGGUCGAAGGAAAGGAAACCGCUAUGCAGUCACUCCCCACAGCUCCCGCAGGUUGGCUGUGGCUAAACUAUAACUGGAUCUAAAAGGGCAUCGUGACAGUCACAUACCUACCUCCCUGGAGAGCUUUCCUCUCCCCCAGCCUGUGUAGCAGCUGUCAGGGAAGCCAAGGAAUUGAGUACAGGCUGGUUUUAGAGGGUACAUUUGGGAUCUGGGAGUCGAGAGAGGAGGCGGCCCAGGACCACACCAAAGGUUAGGUGUAGUACCCUGAGAGUACUAGGCUGGCAGGGUGCUGGGAUGUACUUCCUGCCUGGUCCCCUGAGGGUCAGGGGAUCUGGGCUCUGUCCCUCCUCUUCCUUACGCUCCUGCUCAGGAACUGCCCAGGCCCCCCCCUGCCUUUCUCUUUACUCACCAUCCUUACCUCCCCUGUGCGGUGGGCAGCAGUGCAGUGACACGGGCGGGGUUGCUGUCCCACCCCACAGGUGAGAGAACUGCAGGGAAGAAUUGGGAUUCUCCCGAGGGCUGAUUUGGGGGUCAGGGGGUCAGGCAGGAUCUGAUCCUGGGACUCAGUCCAGUGCUUCUAACCUCCCACCAAAAUCCACACCCAGAGGUGCCCACACCCAAGGGUCUCGUCUGCCUCUGGAAAGUGGUGUCUGUUUGCAUCUAGUUCUGGAUAGGAUGGUGGGUUGGUCCCAGCUUAGAAAAUAAAGCAGUGUAGUUGAGAAGCAAGUCC
rnacentral:lncRNA from 1 species